GCAAACUUGGUCAUUUAGAGGAAGUAAAAGUCGUAACAAGGUUUCUGUAGGUGAACCUGCAGAAGGAUCAUUAGUGAAGAUUCAAGGGCCAGCCAUACAGACGUACAACAAGUGUGUCUCUGGCGGCUCGCAUCCCACUAUACAUCCAUAAACCCGUGUGCACAGUUGUAGGAGUGAGAAAGAAGGGAGAGAGUGCGUGUGUUUUGCAUAACUCUCUCUCGCUUUCUCUCUCCGAUUCAUUACAAACUCGUAUGGAUUUGUAUGAACGUGAGAUAUAUCGUUGGACCGUCACUGGCCAACAAAUGUAACACAACUUUCGACAACGGAUCUCUUGGUUCUCCCAUCGAUGAAGAACGCAGC
rnacentral:misc_RNA from 1 species